GACGAACGCUGGCGGCGUGCUUAACACAUGCAAGUCGAGCGGAGAGGCCCUUCGGGGUACUCGAGCGGCGAACGGGUGAGUAACACGUGAGUAAUCUGCCCUGCACUCUGGGAUAGCCUUGGGAAACUGAGAUUAAUACCGGAUAUGUUCACUUCCCGCAUGGGAUGGUGGUGGAAAGUUUUUCGGUGCAGGAUGUGCUCGCGGCCUAUCAGCUUGUUGGUGGGGGAAUGGCCUACAAAGGCUUCGACGGGUAGCCGGCCUGAGAGGGUGACCGGCCACACUGGGACUGAGACACGGCCCAGACUCCUACGGGAGGCAGCAGUGGGGAAUAUUGGACAAUGGGCGGAAGCCGGAUCCAGCAACGCCGCGUGAGGGAUGACGGCCUUCGGGUUGUAAACCUCUUUCAGCACAGACGAAGCGCAAGUGACGGUAUGUGCAGAAGAAGGACCGGCCAACUACGUGCCAGCAGCCGCCGUAA
rnacentral:rRNA from 1 species